AACAGGACUGGAGACAGAUGGGU
rnacentral:piRNA from 1 species